CGCCUGUGAGAGGUGAUAUCCUGUGAGAGGCUGGGAAGGGGAGUGUCCGUUUGAGCUGGAAGGCUGCCUGGAGGAGGUGUGGCUUGAACUGGGCUUGAGCAGUGGGAAGGAUUUGGAGAGCGGAGGAAUGAAGGAGAGCAGAGAGGAGAGGCUUGGAGGCCCCCAAAGGCUCUGCGCAGACCAGCACUGUCUCCUCCUUCAUCCACAGAGAGGAUGAAAGAACAUGGCAAGAGGAAGACUCACAGAACCCCACAGAGAAGCUUUGAGAAUUGGGCUGUCUGGCUCUCCCAUCACCCAUUUGGCCACCAGCUUUGGUCCCAGCUGCUGUGCCCUCGGGGGAUGCAUUAUGGCCCUGAAAGGGGCCCUUGUCCCUUUUUGGGGUGUCAUCCUGGCUGGGUGGUAUGGAUUUCUGCUGUAAACAUGGCCCAUCUGGGAGAAGCCCAGGUGCCACGUUUUGAACAGCUCUGAAACUUAAAGCUCAGAAGGCUUUGAAAUGCAAAUAUUUUGAAGGAAACAUAAGGAGGAACAUGAAUAUCUCCAGAUCUCAGAGAGGAUGUCUGACCCUUGAGCCAGAAGAAGGCCCAUUUACUCUGUGUUCACUGAUUAAUCCUGAAUGCCAAAUGUGGUGCCUGAUACACAGGAGGUACUUCAUAAUCAUAAU
rnacentral:lncRNA from 10 species